AUUGAACGCUGGCGGCAGGCCUAACACAUGCAAGUCGAACGAGUGGCGGACGGGUGAGUAAUGUCUGGGACACUGCCUGAUGGAGGGGGAUAACUACUGGAAACGGUAGCUAAUACCGCAUACCAUCGGAUCUGCCCAGAUGGGAUUAGCUACUAGGUGGGGUAACGGCUCACCUAGGCGACGAUCCCUAGCUGGUCUGAGAGGAUGACCAGCCACGCUGGAACGUAGCCACGGUCCAGGCUCCUACGGGAGGCAGCAGUGGGGAAUAGUGCACGAGGGGCGCAAUCCUGAUGCAGCCAUGCCGCGUGUAUGAAGAAGGCCUUCGGGUUUUAAAGUACUUUCAGUGGGGAGGCGUUACCCGCAGAAGAAGAACCGGCUAACUCCGUGCCAGCAGCCGCGGUAAUAC
rnacentral:rRNA from 1 species